rnacentral:rRNA from 1 species
UGGGGAAUCUUCCGCAAUGGACGAAAGUCUGACGGAGCAACGCCGCGUGCGUGACGACGGUCUUCGGAUUGUAAAGCUCUGUUAAUCGGGACGAAUGGUUUGUGUGCAAAUAGUGCAUAGACAUGACGGUACCGGAAUAGAAAGCCACGGCUAACUACGUUCCAGCAGCCGCGGUAAUACGUAGGUGGCAAGCGUUGUCCGGAAUUAUUGGGCGUAAAGCGCGCGCAGGCGGACUAGCCAGUCAGUCUUAAAAGUUCGGGGCUUAACCCCGUGAUGGGAUUGAAACUACUAGUCUAGAGUAUAGGAGAGGAAAGUGGAAUUCCUUGUGUAGCGGUGAAAUGCGUAGAUAUUAGGAAGAACACCAGUGGCGAAGGCGACUUUCUGGACGAACACGGACGCUGAGGCUCGAAAGCGUGGGUAGCAAACAGG